rnacentral:rRNA from 1 species
CGUGAGCAAUCUGCCCUUAUCUGGGGGAUAACAGUUGGAAACGACUGAUAAUACCGCAUAACAUCGAGAGAAGGCAUCUUCUUUCGAUCAAAGAUUUAUCGGAUAAGGAUGAGCUCGCGUCUGAUUAGCUUGUUGGUGAGGUAACGGCUCACCAAGGCGACGAUCAGUAGCCGACCUGAGAGGGUGAUCGGCCACAUUGGAACUGAGACACGGUCCAAACUCCUACGGAAGGCAGCAG